rnacentral:rRNA from 1 species
AGUGAACGCUGGCGGUAGGCCUAACACAUGCAUGUCGAACGGCAGCACAGUAAGAGCUUGCUCUUACGGGUGGCGAGUGGCGGACGGGUGAGGAAUACAUCGGAAUCUACUUUUUCGUGGGGGAUAACGUAGGGAAACUUACGCUAAUACCGCAUACGACCUACGGGUGAAAGCAGGGGAUCUUCGGACCUUGCGCGACUGAAUGAGCCGAUGUCGGAUUAGCUAGUUGGCGGGGUAAAGGCCCACCAAGGCGACGAUCCGUAGCUGGUCUGAGAGGAUGAUCAGCCACACUGGAACUGAGACACGGUCCAGACUCCUACGGGAGGCAGCAGUGGGGAAUAUUGGACAAUGGGCGCAAGCCUGAUCCAGCCAUACCGCGUGGGUGAAGAAGGCCUUCGGGUUGUAAAGCCCUUUUGUUGGGAAAGAAAAGCAGCAGGUUAAUACCCCGCUGUUCUGACGGUACCCAAAGAAUAAGCACCGGCUAACUUCGUG